rnacentral:rRNA from 1 species
GACAGAGGGGGCAAGCGUUGCUCGGAAUUACUGGGCGUAAAGGGCGCGUAGGCGGGAUGGCAAGUCGGUCGUGAAAUCCCUCGGCUCAACCAAGGAACGUCGAUCGAUACUGCUGUUCUUGAGGAUUGCAGAGGAGACUGGAAUUCCCGGUGUAGCGGUGAAAUGUGUAGAGAUCGGGAGGAACACCGGUGGCGAAGGCGGGUCUCUGGGCAAUUCCUGACGCUGAGUGCGCGAAAGCCAGGGGAGCAAACGGG